rnacentral:tRNA from 2 species
GCAAGUAUGGUGGAAUUGGUAUACACGGUAGUCUUAGAAACUACUGCCAGAAAUGGCUUGAAGGUUCGAGUCCUUCUACUUGCA